CUGCUGGCGCGGGCCCGCUGCUCCCCGUCCUCCCGCGCCUCCUCCACCACCUCAGUGAGCCUCCGCAGACAGCAUCCAGGAAGCAAAUAUGUCUGACAAGAGCGACCUAAAAGCUGAGCUGGAGCGCAAAAAGCAGCGCUUAGCGCAGAUAAGAGAGGAGAAGAAACGGAAGGAAGAGGAGAGGAAAAAGAAAGAGGCAGAUAUGCAGCAGAAGAAAGAGCCCGUUCCAGAUGACUCCGAUCUGGACCGCAAACGACGAGAGACAGAAGCUUUGCUUCAGAGCAUCGGCAUAUCGCCGGAGCCCCCUCUAGUGCAGCCGCUGCAUUUUUUAACAUGGGAUACCUGUUAUUUUCAUUAUUUAGUCCCAACCCCUAUGUCUCCCUCUUCGAAAUCAGUGAGCACUCCCAGUGAAGCUGGAAGCCAAGACGAUCUGGGGCCAUUAACAAGGAGAAGACUGAACAAGCUGGGCGUGUCAAAGGUUACCCAGGUGGAUUUCCUGC
rnacentral:lncRNA from 1 species